AUUGAACGCUGGCGGCAGGCCUAACACAUGCAAGUCGAGCGAGCGGCGGACGGGUGUGUAAUGUAUGGGGACUGCCAGAUAGAGGGGGAUAAAUACGGGACACGGUGGCUAAUACCGCAUAUUAGCGGAUAACCCAGAUGGGGUUAGCUAGUAGGUGGGGUAAAGGCUGUCCUAGGCGACGAUCUCUAGCUGGUUUGAGAGGGUGAUCAGCCACACUGUGACAGAGACACGGCGCCGAAUCCUACGGAGGAAGCGGUGGGGAAUAUUGAACAAUGGGCGCAAGCAUGAUGAAGACAGUCCGCGUGUAUGAAGAAGGCCUUAGGGGUGUAAAGUACUUUCAGCGGUGAGGCGUUACCCGCAGAAUAAGCACCGGCUAACUCCGUGCCAGCAGCCGCGGUAAUAA
rnacentral:rRNA from 1 species